rnacentral:rRNA from 1 species
AUGUCAACUGCCAGGCACCCUCAGACUGAUGGUCAAUCAGAAAAGCAAUGUCUCGAGAUGUAUCUCCGGUGCUCUGUCAAUGCUACACCAACUAAGUGGGCCAUCUGGUUACCAUUGGCUGAAUUUUGGUAUAAUACCUCCCAUCAUUCAUCACUGAGUUGUUCUCCUUUUAAGGCAUUAUAUGGACAUGAGCCACAUAUUGGAGAACUGCCUCGCCCUCUGACAACUGACAAGGUCGAUGUGGAUCAGUCGAUCCAAGAACGUCAACGUUACUCUGAACAUCUGAAAGUGCAGCUACAUGGAGCUCAAGCAAAAAUGAAGUCUGAAGCAGACAAACAUCGCUCUUCCAGAGAAUUUCAGAUAGAAGAGGAGGUCUUCCUCAAGCUCCAACCAUAUGCACAAUCAUUAGUGGUAAAUAGACCUUUUCCUAAAUUGGCAUUCAAGUACUUUGGGCCUUAUAAGAUACUGGAGAAGAUUGGUCCAGUAGAGUAUAAACUAGCGCUCCCUGAAGGCAGUCAGGUACAUCCGGUGUUUCAUGUUUCUCAGCUGAAACAACAUGUACCUGACCACACUCCAGUUUUUACUACUUUACCGGCACUUCUGUUGAUGGAAGUUGAGGAUCUGCAGCCUGCCCUGAUCCUUGAUCGCCGGCUAGUGAAGAAAGGUAAUCAAGCACUGUUAAAUUAUCAGCCUCAGAUGCUACAUGGGAAGAUUACACGACAGUUUGACAGACGUUUCCAAAUGCACCAGCUUGGGAACAAGUUGGUUCUGGAGAGGCGGAACCUGUAA